AUAGUAGUCCAUAAAUUUUUUAAUGUUCUACUAACCAAUGAUCGCGCUAACUAAACUGUCUUGAAAGUUAAAAUAGUUGUCCAUAAAGCUUUUAAUGUUCUAUUAAACAAUGAGCGCGGAAACGAAACUGUCUUGAAAUAGUAGUUCAUAGAAUUUAAGUUCUCUUAAACAAAGAUGGCAAUUUUAAUUUAUUUGUUUAAGUUUUCAUUCGAAUUAUUUGGAUGAGCUAAUGGUUUGCUAAUCAGCUUAAUUUCACGAUGAAAUGUGUUGUGCAAGAUAAUGAACGUUAUUUUACAGUCGGCUGAACAAUCAAAAACUUGGUAGAAAUAACGUGUCUUCUAAAUUUGCUAACUAUCAAUUUAUAGGACAAAGCUUAACUAUGUUUUUGAAUGAUGAGUAACUAGUUUACCGAAUCUUAGAUUUUCAAAAUUCAUUUAGAUAUACUUUUUAAUUUGUCAAUUCUUAAAAGAUUUUAGAUUUCCAACCUUACGAACUACCCAUUUCAAUGCGUCAAACAUCCUAAUUGGUCAUUCUAGUACGACUAUAGAUGCUCACCUCACAAAUCAUCCAUUUCAAUUCCACAACCUAGCUAAUUGUUCAUUAUCAUUAGAUUAUAGGUUACUAACCUCAUGAGUCAUCCAAUGAAUGUCACUUGUUCAUCUGCAAUACUAUUAAGAUCAACAAUACUAUUUACAUUGCAAGUUCACUUGAAUGUGUUUUGGACUUUGAUUCUUGUACGAAUGAUUGAUUGUCCUUAUAAUAGUUAUUAUCAUUGUAAAAGGUUGUUGGACAAUCAUUGUAGUUUCCUAAUUUAGUGGUGGAUUUCAACUGAGAGUUGUAUUUGUAGUCUUGGAGGGGUGAACAUGUACCUGCAGAUUUUAUCUUUUACAGUGUAGAAUUGUUUGAGAUUUUCCUCCGCCGGUUGUGUGAUGGUGGCCUACGCUGAAAUUCUCCGCCGACUUGGAUCCUGGAAUUGCUGCUGUGUUAUACUGUGUGAUUGGAGAAGCUUUGCUGCUGAAUUGAUCAGAGCAAACCAAAUUUCAGCUGUUUUUGCUCUGUUUGGAUGGAUUGGAAUAGCUGUGGAUCUGAAAUUGAAUGAAAUUGAAGUAUCUGUCCCCUUUCAAAACCAUCAGUGUGUUGCUGGCUGAGUCGUUGAAGUUGGUCCAGAUCGUUUGCUGCGUAGCUGAAGUAAUAUUAACACAGCAGCGGUAGGAAUGAAGCUGUACUAGGCAUUCAACAUUAUAACUGCUUAGUACAACUGCAUUCCCGCUGUUGCUGUGUUCAGAAGAAAGCUGCAAGGGGGUCUAUCUCAUGUUUCAUUUUAUCGUCUUUGUUCUUAUUCUGUCAUCUUGGUAUGGAAUUGAAUAUGGCAACUUUCUAGGCGGUGGAUGCGGGUUCAUUCUCAUUGCGCCUAAUCGAGAUAUUACACGUCUGUACCAAUUAUAAUGAGAAUAUCUGCUAUCUUGUCUUGUGCUCAUCUUACUAGGUUGUGGAAGUGUACCUCGACUGAAAGAUUAUUUCAAGGAAAUUUUGUCUUCUGAUACAUGGGUAACUGGUCAUCUAUUGAGGUAAUGUGUAUUGCCAUAUGCUAAUUAUUAAUCGGAUAUAUUGCCACCA